GCUGCGGCCAGAUGCUCGCAUCUGUCGAGCCGGGCUUCUCCCUCCCCCGUCUUCGGUGCGCGCCGAAACACGAUUUAUGUUUUUAUUUAGGAGAAUAAAUAAAUGAAGAGGGGAGCGCGGUUCGGGGCUGGCGGCCGGAGCGGGCGCGGGGAGGUUCAGUUCUGAGGCGGGUGCUCACGUGUAACUCCCCGCGCUCCGGCCUCCGAGCGCCCGCUAGCUCUCAGCUCCUCAUUAAGAUGCAAAAGCGAACCUCCGGCUCCUAAUGAGGGGAAAAUAUAGAUCCGGGGACGCGCGGCCGGCUCG
rnacentral:lncRNA from 1 species